CGUGUGGUUCUAUUUUGUUGGUUUCUAGGACCGCCGUAAUGAUUAAUAGGGACAGUCGGGGGCAUCAGUAUUCAAUUGUCAGAGGUGAAAUUCUUGGAUUUAUUGAAGACUAACUACUGCGAAAGCAUUUGCCAAGGAUGUUUUCAUUAAUCAGGAACGAAAGUUAGGGGAUCGAAGACGAUCAGAUACCGUCGUAGUCUUAACCAUAAACUAUGCCGACUAGGGAUCGGACGAUGUUAUAUUUUGACUCGUUCGGCACCUUACACGAAAGUAAAGUUUCUGGGUUCUGGGGGGAGUAUGGUCGCAAGGCUGAAACUUAAAGAAAUUGACGGAAGGGCACCACCAGGGGUGGAGCCUGCGGCUUAAUUUGACUCAACACGGGGAAACUCA
rnacentral:rRNA from 1 species